rnacentral:rRNA from 1 species
UACGAAGGGUGCGAGCGUUAAUCGGAAUUACUGGGCGUAAAGCGCGUGUAGGCGGUUGGUUAAGUCAGAUGUGAAAGCCCCGGGCUCAACCUGGGAACGGCAUUUGAUACUGGCUGACUAGAAUGUGGUAGAGGGAGGCGGAAUUCCCGGUGUAGCGGUGAAAUGCGUAGAGAUCGGGAAGAACACCAAUGGCGAAGGCAGCCUCCUGGGCCAACAUUGAAGCUGAGACGCGAAAGCGUGGGGAGCAAACAGG